UACAGAGGAUGCAAGCGUUAUCCGGAAUGAUUGGGCGUAAAGCGUCUGUAGGUGGCUUUUUAAGUCCGCCGUCAAAUCCCAGGGCUCAACUCUGGACAGGCGGUGGAAACUACCAAGCUGGAGUACGGUAGGGGCAGAGGGAAUUUCCGGUGGAGCGGUGAAAUGCGUAGAGAUUAGGAAGAACACCAGUGGCGAAGGCGAUUCUCUGGACCAUAACUGACGCUGAGGCAUGAAAGCGUGGGUAGCAAACAGG
rnacentral:rRNA from 1 species